rnacentral:rRNA from 1 species
GUUGACCUCGGAUCAGGUAGGGAUACCCGCUGACUAAC